GACGAACGCUGGCGGCGUGCUUAACACAUGCAAGUCGAGCGGUAAGGCCCUUCCGGGGGUACACGAGCGGCGAACGGGUGAGUAACACGUGGGUGACCUGCCCUCAGCUCUGGGAUAAGCCUGGGAAACCGGGUCUAAUACCGGAUAUGACUCCAUGACGCAUGUUGUGGGGUGGAAAGCCUUGUGCGGCUGAGGAUGGGCCCGCGGCCUAUCAGCUUGUUGGUGGGGUGAUGGCCUACCAAGGCGACGACGGGUAGCCGGCCUGAGAGGGCGACCGGCCACACUGGGACUGAGACACGGCCCAGACUCCUACGGGAGGCAGCAGUGGGGAAUCUUGCGCAAUGGGCGAAAGCCUGACGCAGCGACGCCGCGUGAGGGAUGACGGCC
rnacentral:rRNA from 1 species